rnacentral:rRNA from 1 species
AGUGAACGCUGGCGGUAGGCCUAACACAUGCAAGUCGAACGGCAGCACAGUAAGAGCUUGCUCUUACGGGUGGCGAGUGGCGGACGGGUGAGGAAUACAUCGGAAUCUACUUUUUCGUGGGGGAUAACGUAGGGAAACUUACGCUAAUACCGCAUACGACCUACGGGUGAAAGCAGGGGAUCUUCGGACCUUGCGCGACUGAAUGAGCCGAUGUCGGAUUAGCUAGUUGGCGGGGUAAAGGCCCACCAAGGCGACGAUCCGUAGCUGGUCUGAGAGGAUGAUCAGCCACACUGGAACUGAGACACGGUCCAGACUCCUACGGGAGGCAGCAGUGGGGAAUAUUGGACAAUGGGCGCAAGCCUGAUCCAGCCAUACCGCGUGUGUGAAGAAGGCCUUCGGGUUGUAAAGCCCUUUUGUUGGGAAAGAAAAGCAGCAGGUUAAUACCCCGCUGUUCUGACGGUACCCAAAGAAUAAGCACCGGCUAACUUCGUG